GGUGAUAUGAACCGUUAUAACCGGCGAUGUCCGAAUGGGGAAACCCAGUGCAAUUCGUUGCACUAUCGUUAACUGAAUACAUAGGUUAACGAGGCGAACCGGGGGAACUGAAACAUCUAAGUACCCCGAGGAAAAGAAAUCAACCGAGAUUCCCCCAGUAGCGGCGAGCGAACGGGGAGCAGCCCAGAGUCUGAAUCAGCUUGUGUGUUAGUGGAACGGUCUGGAAAGUCCGACGGUACAGGGUGAUAGUCCCGUACACCAAAAUGCACAGGCUGUGAAC
rnacentral:rRNA from 1 species